AUGUUGUUGAGGCUUCUUCAACUUCUUCGUGAAAAAUCUCUUCUCACUCUCUUCUUCCUCACCGCUGCAACUCCAUCAUUAUUCGCCGUCGCCGACGAUUCUCUUCAACCAGUAACGGAUGCACAUAGCCUUCGUAUCCGCCGUUACUGCCGUACGCCGCUCAUCACCUCAACAUCUCCGAUUUGCUAUAAGGAUCAUCACCUCCGCUCAUCUUCAACGAUUCUCUUCGUCUCACUUCAUCACUCUCCACUUCAGAAGCAUCGCAUUCAUUUUCAAACAUUCUUGACUCCGACGUUCAUCUCCUCAGUUCCGGUUUAG